rnacentral:rRNA from 1 species
GACGACGCUGGCGGCGUGCCUAACACAUGCAAGUCGAGCGGUCCGGCAUUUAACAUUGAGUAUUCAGAUGAAUCUGAGUAUUGAAUGUUAAAUGUCGGAUAGCGGCGGACGGGUGAGUAACGCGUGGGUAACCUGCCUUAUACAGGGGGAUAACACAGGGAAACUUGUGCUAAUACCGCAUAAUAUCAUUGUAUGGCAUCAUGUGAUGAUCAAAGGAGCAAUCCGGUAUAAGAUGGACCCGCGUCCAAUUAGCUAGUUGGUGGUGUAACGGACCACCAAGGCGACGAUUGGUAGCCGAACUGAGAGGUUGAUCGGCCACAUUGGGACUGAGACACGGCCCAGACUCCUACGGGAGGCAGCAGUGGGGAAUAUUGCACAAUGGGGGAAACCCUGAUGCAGCAACGCCGCGUGAAGGAUGAAGGUUUUCGGAUCGUAAACUUCUUUGAUGAGGGACGAAAAAUGACGGUACCUCAAGAACAAGCCACGGCUAACUACGUG